rnacentral:rRNA from 1 species
AUUGAACGCUGGCGGCAUGCCUUACACAUGCAAGUCGAACGGUAACGCGGGGCAACCUGGCGACGAGUGGCGAACGGGUGAGUAAUACAUCGGAACGUGCCCAGUAGUGGGGGAUAGCCCGGCGAAAGCCGGAUUAAUACCGCAUACGACCUACGGGUGAAAGCAGGGGAUCGCAAGACCUUGCGCCAUUGGAGCGGCCGAUGUCAGAUUAGGUUGUUGGUGGGGUAAAGGCCUACCAAGCCGACGAUCUGUAGCUGGUCUGAGAGGACGACCAGCCACACUGGGACUGAGACACGGCCCAGACUCCUACGGGAGGCAGCAGUGGGGAAUUUUGGACAAUGGGCGCAAGCCUGAUCCAGCCAUGCCGCGUGCGGGAAGAAGGGCCCUUC